rnacentral:rRNA from 1 species
GACGAACGCUGGCGGCGUGCCUAAUACAUGCAAGUUGAGCGCUGAAGGUUGGUACUUGUACCGACUGGAUGAGCAGCGAACGGGUGAGUAACGCGUGGGGAAUCUGCCUUUGAGCGGGGGACAACAUUUGGAAACGAAUGCUAAUACCGCAUAAAAACUUUAAACACAAGUUUUAAGUUUGAAAGAUGCAAUUGCAUCACUCAAAGAUGAUCCCGCGUUGUAUUAGCUAGUUGGUGAGGUAAAGGCUCACCAAGGCGAUGAUACAUAGCCGACCUGAGAGGGUGAUCGGCCACAUUGGGACUGAGACACGGCCCAAACUCCUACGGGAGGCAGCAGUAGGGAAUCUUCGGCAAUGGACGAAAGUCUGACCGAGAAACGCCGCGGGAGUGAAGAAGGUUGUCGGAUCGGAAAACUCUGUUGGUAGAGAAGAACGUUGGUGAGAGUGGAAAGCUCAUCAAGUGACGGUAACUACACAGAAAGGGACGGCUAACUACGUG